UACGACGUAUCAGUAGUUUGACUCCUGGCUCAGGACGAACGCUGGCGGCGUGCUUAACACAUGCAAGUCGAACGGAAAGGCCCUGCUUUUGUGGGGUGCUCGAGUGGCGAACGGGUGAGUAACGCGUGAGUAACCUGCCCUUGACUUUGGGAUAACUUCAGGAAACUGGGGCUAAUACCGGAUAGGAGCUCCUGCUGCAUGGUGGGGGUUGGAAAGUUUCGGCGGUUGGGGAUGGACUCGCGGCUUAUCAGCUUGUUGGUGGGGUAGUGGCUUACCAAGGCUUUGACGGGUAGCCGGCCUGAGAGGGUGACCGGCCACAUUGGGACUGAGAUACGGCCCAG
rnacentral:rRNA from 1 species